AUAGCUCUAUGCACAGAGCAUGUGUUUGUGUAUAGUGUGUGUUCCCUGUGCAAUUUACAUGUAGCUGUAAUGUGUGUAUUCUAGUGAACAGCUGCAGGGGUACCCUGCAUAAAUUUACUACGAACCAUGAGCCAGUAGGUCCAUGAUCAGCUGUACAAAAUAUAUUGCAUACUAUACUGCAUUCAGCUCAAUUCAUUUUCCUGAAUGUAGUAGCUGCAUGAUUGCUUGUCAUUGGGUGUAAUACUCUGUUAUAAUUCCAUAUGGAACCCCCUGAAGAAAUACCCGUUGAAAUUAAUGUUAAUGCGAAAGAUUGCUCAAAUUGGGAAGAGUUAAAAGCUCAGGCCAGUCUAGGAGAAGAGGGUGGCAAGGAGUACAUACUUUCUCAAGACAACGAACUGCGAUUUGAAGUCGAAAACAAUGAAAUCGUACAAAUGGAGAUCAAAGAGGGUUUGGCAGAAGUGUUUGGCUCGGAGCUGAUGAAGAAUAAAAUAUACAAAUUUUCCUCAGGUUCCAAAGUAGCAGUAUUCACAUGGCAGGGAUGCAAGAUUAUACUUCGAGGUAAGACGGAGGUAGCAUACGUUUCCAAAGAAACGCCCAUGGUGAUGUAUCUGAACACGCAUGCUGCUCUGGAGCAAAUGAGACAACAGGCUGAACUUGAGGCUACUAGGGGACCAAAGGUGAUGGUUGUCGGACCGGGAGACGUUGGGAAGAGCACAGUAUGCCGAUUAUUAUUAAACUAUGCAGUCAGGGUUGGGAGGAGACCUACGUUUAUUGAAUUGGAUGUGGGUCAGGGUUCUGUAUCCGUGCCUGGUACCGUAGGAGCCUUGCUGGUAGAGAGACCAGCCGACGUAGAACAAGGUUUCGCCCUCACCGCCCCUCUAGUCUAUCACUUCGGUGCUACCUCACCCGGUGUCAAUAUGAAACUCUAUCAGAUUCUCACUGCCAAGCUUGCCAAGGUCUUUGCAAUGCGGUGCAAAACAAAUACAAGAGUCGCUCAGAGUGGAUGUGUCAUCAAUACGUGUGGUUGGGUCAAAGGUGACGGCUACCAAUGUAUCAAAUAUGCAGCUCAGGCAUUUGAAGUUGAUGUCAUCAUCGUUCUUGACCAGGAGAGGCUGUAUAAUGAACUGGUCCGAGACAUGCCUUCGUUCGUCAAAAUCGUGCUACAACCAAAAUCUGGUGGGGUUGUGGAUAGAUCUCAGGCUUUCAGGCGGUUCACAAGAGACGAGAAAGUUCGAGAGUACUUCUACGGCUUUAACUGCUGUUAUUAUCCACAUUCCUUUGAAGUCAAAUUUGCUGAUGUAGAAAUCUACAAGGUCGGAGCUCCCCCGGUUCCUAAUUCUUGCCUACCUCUUGGAAUGACACCGGAAGAUAAUCAAACUAAACUAGUUCCAGUAAAUCCAGGUCCAGAGAUUGUUCAUCAUCUACUUAGUGUAAGUCUAGCUGAUUCCAAAGAUGAUGAUCUAAUAGCAACCAAUGUAGCAGGUUUCAUUGUCAUUACCAAUGUGGACAUGGAUAGGAAGACAUUCACCGUGCUUUCGCCUGCUCCCCGACCGUUACCACGGCGAUACCUCCUCCUUAGCGAUGUACGUUUCAUGGAUAUCAAAUGAUGCAGGUAUAAUUUAUGGACAGACUCUAAUAGAUUCACAACAUUUUUAUUACCAUGGACUGUGCAAGCUUGGCAACGUUCUGAUAAGCUUAAUUUAUCUGUGCCCUUCAUUGAUGUGUCUAUACAGGUGUAUUUAUAGAAGUCGAGUGGAAAGUCCUUCACCACCUUUUCGGAGUUGUUAUUUGUUUCUAUUUUCUACACUUUUUUACUCUUUUCGAAUUUUUUCUUACGGUUUGGACAUUUAAUUUAUACUACAUAUAUAAUUUCAUAUGAGCUAUGAGUUUUGUACCACUGUAAAUGUAUUGUUGCAUAUAAUGAGCUACAUGUAGCUAAUUUGUGACCUAAUGUACCAAAGUCAGCUGUAUGUAAUAUGCAAAUCCUGUAAGACAAAACGUUUUCUUUCGUUUUUGACAUUACAAUGAGCUCACUCAUAUUCAAGGAAUUGCAAUUCUUUUUUUUCUUUCUCAUCAAUAGAUGGCCACUCCCAUAAUCCAUUUUGUGUCGAGAUAUUUUUCUUUUUAAUAUUUGUUUUGAUGGUAAAUCUGAGUAUUUAUCAAAUUAAUAGGCUAUCCUUGUGUUUUUUUUCCAUAUUAAACAAAGCCAGCAGAAAAUGUUAUUGUACUAUAGCGUAAGAUUUUGAAAAUCUUGCACCAUUUAGCCAAUAUUCACAAUUGGUAUUCAAUUUAAACAAGUAUUUUAAUUAUUUGAUAUUUUUUGUUGCGUUUUGUUGAUUAUUUACAUGUAUUCUUAAACCAUUUCAUUUGUUAUCCUUGUAUUGUAUCAAUUUUUCUUUUAAAUAUUUUAAAUGGAAUUUUUCUAACUCCUUUGGUUAUGAAAUUUCAAGUAUAAUUUUCUCUCUUUUUUGAGGUUUUAUAUGUAUCUAAUGUUUAAAUUUUCCCUCAAAUUUUAUGAUUGAAAAAUGUUUUUUGUGUCCUUGACAGUGACGAAGAAAUGGACACCUACUCAGGAACACAACACUGGGUGUGUUUUGAAAAUUUUUCAUAUUAUUUUUUGUUUUAAAUGUUGUUAAUGAUGAUGCUAAAAAACAAGACAUAUCAGAAAAUGUUCUUCUCUUUAUCAAACAACAAAUCAAUAUUUAAAAGUUAGUUUUGAAUUUAUUCAUGUAAGGAACACAGGGUUUGAACAUUGAUUAUGUGUUCUAAUAUUACAUGCACUUGUACUUGUUGAAAAUUAUUUUAGACUCAUCCAGCCAUGGCACUGCAAAGAUCAGCAUUGUUUUUGCACACAAACUCAAUGGGAUAUGACAAAUCUAUUGUUUUUGCACACAAACUCAAUGGGAUAUGACAAAUCUAUUUCACAGAGACUGGAUUCAAAUGCCUGACCCCUGGUUACAAAAUGCUUUAGUCCGAUCACCAUCUUCAGUUCCCCCUUAUUUAGGCAUUUUGGGCAACCAUGUAGCCUUGUGUUAUCAGUUCAUAAACAUACUCGUGUACAUUACAUUCUCAGGUAAACGUACCUCAUCAAGAGUACUGUUUGAUUCUAUGAAGCAUGACAUGUUUAUAGUUAGUUGCAAGUUCCAAACACCUUGAUAAGACUAGUUUUCAGCUAUCUUGUGUUCUGCGGCUAAUGAACGUAGUGGGCAACCAACUUCCAGAAAAGUGUUCAUGAAUGUGGGGCUGGGAUCAUGUGCUCAUAGACUUUCGUAGCCAGCCCAAAUGCCUUUGUUUUGUAAACUGAUUUUAGCUCAGGUGCAUGCGGAUGCCUGUGCAUGCCUUUGCAUGAAUGUAAACCAACUACAGUCCAUAUCAAAACUGCAGUGAAGACAAAGCCUAAACAAGAGUUUAGCUGCAACGAGAUCAAAGUCAAAGUAGGGCAAUGCCUGGUGUGCCUUAGGUUAUUGAUUGAUGAGAUAUUUGGGAGUAACUAAUCGAUAAAAAAUUAUUGCUCAAAUUUAUUUGAAAAAAAAUGGGCAUUGGGGCUGGCUGCAGUGGUCUAUUAGCACCACGAACUGUAUGAUUGCAACUAAUAUAGGAUGGACACAAGAACAGAGGAUAUCUUACCAAAUUUGUUGCUUAUGUCCAUUUUAGAUAUCAGCAAUUGUUUUGAUUGACUACUAAUUUCUUCUGGUCUACAGCAAUGCCAAGCCAGUUGGGAACUCGCCCAAAUUUGUUUGUCAGAUUUUUAUUUCUUUGUGUUCGCUUGGUGAAUGGUACAAUUGGAUGUCAUUCAUUUCUGUGAUUGAGCUGUUUUGUCCAAGAAAUUCUAUUUAUUGCACAGUUUUUAUACGAAAUAAUUAGCUUUAUUUGCAAUUUACCAUAUUCAUUGACGUCAUCGCGACAACAUCUUUUGGCGGUCAGUGCCUAUGCCUUGCAUGCGUUGGUGUCCUGCAGCUGGCGCUUCUGUGACAACUCUGUUUAAUGUGUGUUCCUAAAGCCUCUGAGGGAGGGCGCUAAGAGAAUUAUGAUGUCAUGUGCAUAAGGUAUGUUCAUGUCUGAAUGAUUCCUCAAGAAGAGGAUUGUUAGAAUCAGAUUCAGAUGUUUUUUAUGUCAGUCCUGGGGGCUUUUUCAUAAAACUGUUUCACAUGAAUUUAUUUACAAUUGCAACAUGUUCUUGUUCUAAAUACCUUAUUUCCUCCAGUGUUCUUUGAAGAGAUUUGGACUGAAUUUCUUACAUCUUUGUCAAAAAUGUGACAAGUGGUAAACUUUGCAUCUAAAUUGCUCACUGAUCAACAGGAUGUAAAUUCUUCAAAAGUCAUUUUUACUGCUAAAAUUAUGAAGAGUCUGAAUUAACACCCAAGAGCAUGUUCAAUUUGUCUUAAAGUCAUACAUAUCUUUACGAAAAGUUUUAUGAAACGUGCCCCCAGGUGAUAUUUUUACAAAUCAAAUUUAAUUUAUAGUGUUUUUAUACACCUUUUUUUACUACAUUCAUAUGAAUUUAGGCUUGUCUUAUUAGUACCCAUGUUCAUUCAAAAUUGAUUUGUUUAUAAUGUAGAAAACCUGUAAUGUGAGAAAGAGCAUUGCUCGUAAGAGAUGAUGUUCACUAAACUUUUAAUUUGAUUUGACCAAUCAGAGAACGAGGUUUCCAGUUUCUUUGUCUAAGCCCGAUGAUCCGCCGCCUCUGAUAAGGGUUCAUUUGAAACCAUUUUUUGUGAAAUUCUUGGAAAUUUCACCGAGAUUGCAGAGCUCAUGAUUGAGUGAACCCCGACCUUCAAACCUUGUUUUCUCAUUAUUUGAUGCUCUGAUUGAAUUUCUUCUACACUUAAAUCUAGUACUUAUGUUGGUUAUCGUUAAUCACUUCUCAUAUUAAGUUUUAAAGCCAAGGAUGUGCUUUUUCAAGCUCAAGUGGUUUUGGGUUGGCUGGUCCAGAGUGGCACUGGAAUGUGAGGCGGUACCAUUCUAUGUAUGGUGAAGUUCAUUUAAGUUUAAAUUUACAUUUCAUGAAGGAUGACUGUAUUUAUAUUGACUUUGGAAAUUUUUGUAAAGAAGAUGGAUUGAUAGUGUAAAUAUACAAAUUAAUUAUGUA